rnacentral:rRNA from 1 species
AGCGUCUGGAAAGGCGCGCGAUACAGGGUGACAGCCCCGUACACAAAAAUGCACAUACUGUGAGCUCGAUGAGUAGGGCGGGACACGUGGUAUCCUGUCUGAAUAUGGGGGGACCAUCCUCCAAGGCUAAAUACUCCUGACUGACCGAUAGUGAACCAGUACCGUGAGGGAAAGGCGAAAAGAACCCCGGCGAGGGGAGUGAAAAAGAACCUGAAACCGUGUACGUACAAGCAGUGGGAGCACGCUUAGGCGUGUGACUGCGUACCUUUUGUAUAAUGGGUCAGCGACUUAUAUUCUGUAGCAAGGUUAACCGAAUAGGGGAGCCGAAGGGAAACCGAGUCUUAACUGGGCGUUAAGUUGCAGGGUAUAGACCCGAAACCCGGUGAUCUAGCCAUGGGCAGGUUGAAGGUUGGGUAACACUAACUGGAGGACCGAACCGACUAAUGUUGAAAAAUUAGCGGAUGACUUGUGGCUGGGGGUGAAAGGCCAAUCAAACCGGGAGAUAGCUGGUUCUCCCCGAAAGCUAUUUAGGUAGCGCCUCGUGAAUUCAUCUCCGGGGGUAGAGCACUGUUUCGGCAAGGGGGUCAUCCCGACUUACCAACCCGAUGCAAACUACGAAUACCGGAGAAUGUUAUCACGGGAGACACACGGCGGGUGCUAACGUCCGUCGUGAAGAGGGAAACAACCCAGACCGCCAGCUAAGGUCCCAAAGUCAUGGUUAAGUGGGAAACGAUGUGGGAAGGCCCAGACAGCCAGGAUGUUGGCUUAGAAGCAGCCAUCAUUUAAAGAAAGCGUAAUAGCUCACUGGUCGAGUCGGCCUGCGCGGAAGAUGUAACGGGGCUAAACCAUGCACCGAAGCUGCGGCAGCGACGCUGAUGCGUUGUUGGGUAGGGGAGCGUUCUGUAAGCCUGCGAAGGUGUGCUGUGAGGCAUGCUGGAGGUAUCAGAAGUGCGAAUGCUGACAUAAGUAACGAUAAAGCGGGUGAAAAGCCCGCUCGCCGGAAGACCAAGGGUUCCUGUCCAACGUUAAUCGGGGCAGGGUGAGUCGACCCCUAAGGCGAGGCCGAAAGGCGUAGUCGAUGGGAAACAGGUUAAUAUUCCUGUACUUGGUGUUACUGCGAAGGGGGGACGGAGAAGGCUAUGUUGGCCGGGCGACGGUUGUCCCGGUUUAAGCGUGUAGGCUGGUUUUCCAGGCAAAUCCGGAAAAUCAAGGCUGAGGCGUGAUGACGAGGCACUACGGUGCUGAAGCAACAAAUGCCCUGCUUCCAGGAAAAGCCUCUAAGCAUCAGGUAACAUCAAAUCGUACCCCAAACCGACACAGGUGGUCAGGUAGAGAAUACCAAGGCGCUUGAGAGAACUCGGGUGAAGGAACUAGGCAAAAUGGUGCCGUAACUUCGGGAGAAGGCACGCUGAUAUGUAGGUGAAGUCCCUCGCGGAUGGAGCUGAAAUCAGUCGAAGAUACCAGCUGGCUGCAACUGUUUAUUAAAAACACAGCACUGUGCAAACACGAAAGUGGACGUAUACGGUGUGACGCCUGCCCGGUGC